rnacentral:rRNA from 1 species
GACGAACGCUGGCGGCGUGCUUAACACAUGCAAGUCGAACGGAAAGGCCCUGCUUUUGUGGGUUGCUCGAGUGGCGAACGGGUGAGUAACACGUGAGUAACCUGCCCUUGACUUUGGGAUAACUUCAGGAAACUGGGGCUAAUACCGGAUAGGAGCUCCUGCUGCAUGGUGGGGGUUGGAAAGUUUCGGCGGUUGGGGAUGGACUCGCGGCUUAUCAGCUUGUUGGUGGGGUAGUGGCUUACCAAGGCUUUGACGGGUAGCCGGCCUGAGAGGGUGACCGGCCACAUUGGGACUGAGAUACGGCCCAGACUCCUACGGGAGGCAGCAGUGGGGAAUAUUGCACAAUGGGCGGAAGCCUGAUGCAGCAACGCCGCGUGCGGGAUGACGGCCUUCGGGUUGUAAACCGCUUUCGCCUGUGACGAAGCGUGAGUGACGGUAAUGGGUAAAGAAGCACCGGCUAACUACGU